GCUUGCUUCAGCAGUGUCUACAAAAACUGGAACGAUACAGUGAAGAUUAACAUGGACCCUGCGCAAGGAUGACACACAAACUUGUGAAGCAUUCCAUAUUUUU